UACGGGGGGGGCAAGCGUUGUUCGGAAUUACUGGGCGUAAAGGGCUCGUAGGCGGCCAACUAAGUCGGACGUGAAAUCCCCAGGCUCAACCUGGGAACUGCGUCCGAUACUGGAUGGCUUGAAUCCGGGAGAGGGAUGCAGAAUUCCAGGUGUAGCGGUGAAAUGCGUAGAUAUCUGGAGGAACACCGGUGGCGAAGGCGGCAUCCUGGACCGGCAUUGACGCUGAGGAGCGAAAGCCAGGGGAGCAAACGGG
rnacentral:rRNA from 1 species